rnacentral:rRNA from 1 species
UUUGAAAUUAAUUUAAAGUCUAACCUGCUCAAUGAAAUUUAAAUAGCUGCAGUAUUUUGACUGUACAAAGGUAGCAUAAUCAAUAGUUUUUUAAUUAAAAACUGGAAUGAAAGGUUGAAUAAAAAAAUUACUGUCUCAAUUUAAUUUGAAUUAAAAAUUUAUUUUUAAGUUAAAAAGCUUAAAUAUUAUUUAUAGACGAGAAGACCCUAUAGAGUUUUAUUAUUAAUUUAAUAAAAAUUAAAAGAAUUAAAAAAUUUAAUUUAAGUUAAUAAUUUUAUUGGGGUGAUAAAAAAAUUAAAUUAACUUUUUUUAAUUUAAAACAAAAAUUAUUGAUUUAUUGAUCCAUUAAUUAUGAUUAAAAGAUUAAAUUACCUUAGGGAUAACAGCGUAAUUUUUUUUUAGAGUUCAAAUCGAAAAAAAAGAUUGCGACCUCGAUGUUGGAUUAAAAUUAAUUUUUGGUGUAGAAGCUAAAAUAUUAGGUCUGUUCGACCUUUAAAAUUUUACAUGAUCUGAGUUUAAACCGGUGUAAGCCAGGUUGGUUUCUAUCUUAAAUUUAUUAAAAUAUUUUAGUACGAAAGGACCAAAUAUUUAAUUAAAAAUUAAUUUUAAGAAUAAAAAUAUUAUUUUGGCAGAAUAGUGCAAUAAAUUUAGAAUUUAUAAAUGUAAAUUUUACAAAUAAUAUUGAAAGAUUUAAUUUUAAUAAUAAUUUCAUUAAUUAUUUUAAUUGUAAUAGUUUUAGUAGGGGUAGCUUUUUUAACUUUAUUAGAACGUAAAGUUU